rnacentral:rRNA from 1 species
AAACCACGUUUCGAUAAAUCAUUCAAGUUUCUGACCUAUCAUGCUCUCGAUGGUAGUGUAUUGGACUACCAUGGCAGUCACGGUAACGGAGAAUUAGGGUUCGAUUCCGGAGAAGGAGCCUGAGAAACGGCUACUACAUCUACGGAAGGCAGCAGGCGCGUAAAUUACCCAAUCCUAAAUCGGGGAGGUAGUGACAAGAUAUAACAACGCGACUAAAAAUCGCGAUUGUAGUGAGGGUAUUCUAAACAUAGCUUCGAGUACGAUUGGAGGGCAAGUCUGGUGCCAGCAGCCGCGGUAAUUCCAGCUCCAAUAGCGUAUAUUAAAGUUGUUGCAGUUAAAAAGCUCGUAGUUGGACUUCAAGAAGCGCAUCUGGGCAACCAGUUUGCCUUCUACCAGCCCUAGUCUGUUACUGUGAGAAAAUUAGAGUGUUUCAAGCAGGCUUUUGCAGGAAUACAUUAGCAUGGGAAUAACGAAUGUGUCUACAAUUUGGUUGAUUGUAGGUUACAAUUAAUAGGGACAGUUGGGGGC